rnacentral:rRNA from 1 species
GACGAACGCUGGCGGCGUGCUUAACACAUGCAAGUCGAACGGAAAGGCCCUGCUUUUGUGGGGUGCUCGAGUGGCGAACGGGUGAGUAACACGUGAGUAACCUGCCCUUGACUUUGGGAUAACUUCAGGAAACUGGGGCUAAUACCGGAUAGGAGCUCCUGCUGCAUGGUGGGGGUUGGAAAGUUUCGGCGGUUGGGGAUGGACUCGCGGCUUAUCAGCUUGUUGGUGGGGUAGUGGCUUACCAAGGCUUUGACGGGUAGCCGGCCUGAGAGGGUGACCGGCCACAUUGGGACUGGAGUACGGCCCAGACUCCUACGGGGGGCAGCAGUGGGGAAUAUUGCACAAUGGGCGGAAGCCUGAUGCAGCAACGCCGCGUGCGGGAUGACGGCCUUCGGGUUGUAAACCGCUUUCGCCUGUGACGAAGCGUGAGUGACGGUAAUGGGUAAAGAAGCACCGGCUAACUACGUG